rnacentral:rRNA from 1 species
CAGCCGCCGCGGUAAUACCGGCGGCCCGAGUGGCGGUCACUAUUAUUGGGCUUAAAGCGUCCGUAGCCGGGUUGGGAAGUCCUCCGGGAAAUCUGGCCGCUUAACGGUCAGAAUGCCGGAGGAUACUCCCAGCCUAGGGAGCGGGGGAGGCCGAGGGUAUUCCCGGGGUAGGGGUGAAAUCCUAUAAUCCCGGGAGGACCACCUGUGGCGAAGGCGCUCGGCUGGAACGCGUCCGACGGUGAGGGACGAAGGCCAGGGGAGCAAACCGGAUUAGAUACCCGGGUAGUCCUGGCUGUAAACGAUGCGGACUUUGUGUCGGACAAGCUAUGAGCUUGUCCGGUGCCGGAGGGAAACCGUUAAGUCCGCCGCCUGGGGAGUACGGCCGCAAGGCUGAAACUUAAAGGAAUUGGCGGG